AUGGGAGUAAGGGCUCGGCUGAGAUUACACAUCACUGCGAACGAACUUAUUCACUCUUCGAAGCCCCCACCACCUUCUUUCUUUGAGCCGAGCACUUUACUUCGGCUGUGGUCAUUGCCUACCGGUAAACUCCCAUACUUCCUUCUUUUGUUCGAGGGAGGCCAUACAUCUUCCUUCUUUGGUUGGAUCCAGAGAAAACAUGGUGGCCGGAGACAAGGUAUAAACCAGCAGCAACCAAUAGAGGAGUCAGCCGGUUAUGAUGCAGCAACAGUUCUUAUCCAUCCCAUUUUAAGGACAAAUCCUAAUGUUGGUAAAAUAUACAUGUUGAUCAAGGCCAAGGACAAUGAAGCAGCCAUGAAAAGAUUGAAGAACGAGGAAAUCCAUGGGAAAAACUACCACAGCUUUGUAUUAAGCAAGCAGGUUCCAGUCGUUGGUAAUUUCAGGGAAGCCUACAUUGGCAUUGCUCCUGAGUUAGCCAAAGAGAUCGCGGAAGAAGUGGAUGUUAUCGUAAACUCUACAGCAAAUACCACUUUUGAUGAGAGGUAUGAUGUAGCACUAGACAUCAACACCGUGGGGCCAUUUCGGAUAAUGAGUUUCGCGCGGCGGUUUCGAAGACUGAAGCUCUUCUUGCAAGUAUCAACAGCAUAUGUGAAUGGGCAGAGGCAAGGUUUGGUACUAGAGAAGCCAUUUUGCUUAGGGGAUACCAUAACAAAGGGGAUAGGUUCCUCAGAUUUUUCGGCACAUCAGAAUACCGUGUUGGAUAUCGAGGCUGAGAUCAAGUUGGCUUUUGACUCCAGAAGGCAUUCUUCUGCCUCUGCUUCUGUUACUCAAGAAAUGAAAGAGUUAGGUAGUCGAGAUAAUGAGCAUUCUGGAGGAUGCGCUCCAUGGGAAGAAAACACCUGUUGUUUACCUAAACAUAACAAGGAUGACAGACUACAGGAAGGAGGCACACCCUUUUAUCGGAAGCAGAAGUUGACUGAGCAGGAGCGGAAGUCGCCUGAGUUAUACCUGGACUGUAGCCACUGGUGCCUUCCAGGAGUACCGGACUCCUGGAACGAGCUCCUCUAUGCACAGAUUCAGGUCAAACAGCAUCAGAGACUACACCAAUAA
rnacentral:rRNA from 1 species